AUUGAACGCUGGCGGCAGGCCUAACACAUGCAAGUCGAGCGGAUGAAGGGAGCUUGCUCCUGGAUUCAGCGGCGGACGGGUGAUUAAUGCCUAGGAAUCUGCCUGGUAGUGGGGGAUAACGUCCGGAAACGGGCGCUAAUACCGCAUACGUCCUGAGGGAGAAAGUGGGGGAUCUUCGGACCUCACGCUAUCAGAUGAGCCUAGGUCGGAUUAGCUAGUUGGUGGGGUAAAGGCCUACCAAGGCGACGAUCCGUAACUGGUCUGAGAGGAUGAUCAGUCACACUGGAACUGAGACACGGUCCAGACUCCUACGGGAGGCAGCAGUGGGGAAUAUUGGACAAUGGGCGAAAGCCUGAUCCAGCCAUGCCGCGUGUGUGAAGAAGGUCUUCGGAUUGUAAAGCACUUUAAGUUGGGAGGAAGGGCAGUAAGUUAAUACCUUGCUGUUUUGACGUUACCAACAGAAUAAGCACCGGCUAACUUCGUG
rnacentral:rRNA from 1 species